rnacentral:rRNA from 1 species
UUUCGCAAUGCCCGAAAGGGUGACGAAGCGACGCCGCGUGCGGGAAGAAGGCCUUCGGGUUGUAAACCGCUGUCGGGAGUUAAGAAAUGCAAGGAUGUUAAUAGCAUCUUUGUUUGACUAAGGCUCCGGAGGAAGCCACGGCUAACUCUGUGCCAGCAGCCGCGGUAAUACAGAGGCGGCAAGCGUUGUUCGGAGUUAUUGGGCGUAAAGAGCACGUAGGCGGCUGUGUGAGUCGGUUGUGAAAGCCUUCCGCUUAACGGAAGAACGGCAUCCGAUACUGCAUAGCUCGAGUGCGGGGGGGGAGAGUGGAACUUCUGGUGGAGCGGUGAAAUGCGUAGAUAUCAGAAGGAACACCGGCGGCGAAGGCGACUCUCUGCCCGUAACUGACGCUGAGUGUGCGAAAGCUAGGGGAGCAAACGGGAUUAGAUACCCCGGUAGUCCUAGCCGUAAACGAUGGGCACUAAGUAGAGGGGUUUU